rnacentral:rRNA from 1 species
UACGGGGGGGGCAAGCGUUGUUCGGAAUUACUGGGCGUAAAGGGCUCGUAGGCGGCCAACUAAGUCGGACGUGAAAUCCCCAGGCUUAACUUGGGAACUGCGUCCGAUACUGAAAGGCUUGAAUCCGGGAGAGGGAUGUGGAAUUCCAGGUGUAGCGGUGAAAUGCGUAGAUAUCUGGAGGAACACCGGUGGCGAAGGCGGCAUCCUGGACCGGCAUUGACGCUGAGGCGCGAAAGCUAGGGGAGCAAACGGG